GAAAUGCGAUAAGUAAUGUGAAUUGCAGAAUUCCGUGAAUCAUCGAAUCUUUGAACGCACAUUCGCCCUCUGGUAUUCCGGGGGGCAUGCCUGUCCGAGCGUCAUUGCGAACCCCUCAAGCACGGCUUGUGUGAUGGGCCCUCCCGCGUCUUGGUCGUCAAGACGGGCCCGAAAUGCAGUGGCGGCUUCGCGGUUAUCCGAUCAGCCAGAGCGUAUGGGGACUCUCUCUCUUGUCACACGCCCGCGGCGCGGACCGACGCCUGUCGACCUUUAUUCAUCUUCUCUCGGUUGACCUCGGAUCAGGUAGGGAUACCCGCUGAACUUAAGC
rnacentral:misc_RNA from 1 species